GUUGGAUAGCUUCAACACC
rnacentral:snRNA from 1 species